UACAGAGGGUGCGAGCGUUGUUCGGAAUUAUUGGGCGUAAAGAGCGUGUAGGCGGCCAGGUAGGUCCGUUGUGAAAACUCGAGGCUCAACCUCGAGACGCCGAUGGAAACCCCCUGGCUAGAGUCCGGAAGAGGAGAAUGGAAUUCCUGGUGUAGCGGUGAAAUGCGCAGAUAUCAGGAAGAACACCCGUGGCUAAGGCGGUUCUCUAGUACGGUACUGACGCUGAGACGCGAAAGCGUGGGGAGCGAACAGG
rnacentral:rRNA from 1 species